rnacentral:rRNA from 1 species
UACGUAGGGUGCAAGCGUUGUCCGGAAUUAUUGGGCGUAAAGAGCUCGUAGGCGGUCUGUCGCGUCUGCUGUGAAACUCAGGGCUUAACCCUGAGCUUGCAGUGGGUACGGGCAGACUAGAGUGCGGUAGGGGAGACUGGAAUUCCUGGUGUAGCGGUGAAAUGCGCAGAUAUCAGGAGGAACACCGGUGGCGAAGGCGGGUCUCUGGGCCGUAACUGGACGCUGGAGGAGCGAAAGCAUCGGGAGCGAACAGG